rnacentral:pre_miRNA from 8 species
CAGAGCUGUGGAGUGUGACAAUGGUGUUUGUGUCUAAACUAUCAAACGCCAUUAUCACACUAAAUAGCUACUAC